rnacentral:lncRNA from 1 species
AUCACCCCAGAUGCCCUUUCCUACCUGCAGGAUUCUGUAAUUCUUUCUACAUCUGAACAGACUACUGUGGCCUGCUCAAGAGGAUAGAAAAUUGGUAUUUAUAGGGCAUUGCAGUACUCUGCACUACUAACCUUUCUAGCAGAAUUAUUCAAGUAUAUGUUUCUUCUCACAAUUCAAGAAUACUGUGCAGCAAAAUAAACUUCUGUUCUGUUUGAAUGAGAGCAUGUUGUCAUACAGAGGAGUCCUGGGAUGCAUUAGAGCUAAAGAUCAAGCAACGGAUUUCUAAUAAUCAUACAAAAUAUUUAACUAUCUCUUCAACAUAAUAUAAAUUGUCACAAGUGAUGUCCAAGAGAUCUCCAAACUUUAGCAGCUAUAUUUGCUUGAGGGAUAUGGGACAGACGAAGAGUAAAAUUAGGAUACUAAAUUUGAGGAAAUAUAACUUCCACUUCUUCAGGGACUUAGCUAACAAAAAACACUGUGAAACUGUCCUCAGGGACAAGAGAACAGAUCAGAUCUAGCAGAUCUUUAAGCAAGCUUUCCUCAGUGCGCAAGAGCUUUCCUUCUUCAGGUGUAGGAAGUCAGGAAAGGAAGGCAAAAACCAGCAUGGCUGAACAGGGACCUGCUGGCCAAACUGGAGAGCAAGAAGAAAAUGCAUAAGCACUGGAAACAGGCACAGUUACCGUGGGAGGAGUACAGAGAUGCUGCUAGGCUGUACAGUGAUACAAUCAGGAAGGCCAAGGCCCAACUGGUACUGGACUUGACAAGGGGCACAAAGAAGAAUAAGAAAGACUUCUACAGGUACAUCAACAAGAAAAGUUAAGUCCAAGAAGGCAUACAACUAUUUAGUGGGCAAAAGAAGCAGGUAACAAUGGACAAGGAGAAUGCUGCAGUACACAAUUUUUUGCCUCAAUCAUCACUGGCAACUGCUCAUCACACAUCCCUUGAGCAAAGGGGUUGGAAGGUGAGAACUGGGGAAAAAAUCUCACUGUAACUGAAGAUAAGAUUUGUGAGUACUUGAGGAAUGUGAACAUCCAUAUGUCUGUGGGUCCCAGUGAGAUGCAUCCCUGAGUCCUGAAGGAAGUGGCUGAAUUUGUUGCCAAAAUACUCUUGAUGUUUGAAAAGUCUUGGCUGUCAGGAUUAGUCUGUGGUGACUGGAAAAAAAGGCAAUAUCACACAUAUUUCUAAGAAGAGUAGAAAAGAUGACGCAAAGAAUUACCUACCGGCUCCACCUUUGUGCCUGGACCAACACGGUCUUACAAAUUGGAAAG